rnacentral:tRNA from 1 species
ACUUGAUUAGUUUAAUUAAAAUAUUGAUUUGUGGUGUCAAAGUUGUAAUAAUUACAUUGGGUU